AUUGAACGCUGGCGGCAUGCCUUACACAUGCAAGUCGAACGGUAACGCGGGGCAACCUGGCGACGAGUGGCGAACGGGUGAGUAAUGCAUCGGAACGUGCCCAGUAGUGGGGGAUAGCCCGGCGAAAGCCGGAUUAAUACCGCAUACGACCUACGGGUGACAGGGGGGGAUCGCAAGACCUUUCGCUAUUGGAGUGGCCGAUGUCAGAUUAGGUAGUUGGUGGGGUAAAGUCCUACCAAGCCUACGAUCUGUAGCUGGUCUGAGAGGACGACCAGCCACACUGGGACUGAGACACGGCCCAGACUCCUACGGGAGGCAGCAGUGGGGAAUUUUGGACAAUGGGCGCAAGCCUGAUCCAGCCAUGCCGCGUGCGGGAAGAAGGCCUUCGGGUUGUAAACCGCUUUUGUCAGGGAAGAAACGCUCUGGACUAAUACUCUGGGGUAAUGACGGUACCUGAAGAAUAAGCACCGGCUAACUACGUGCCAGCCGCCGCAGUAAGAC
rnacentral:rRNA from 1 species